UGGGGAGUACUGCACAAUGGGGGAAACCCUGAUGCAGCGACGCCGCGUGAGUGAAGAAGUAUUUCGGUAUGUAAAGCUCUAUCAGCAGGGAAGAUAAUGACGGUACCUGACUAAGAAGCCCCGGCUAACUACGUGCCAGCAGCCGCGGUAAUACGUAGGGGGCAAGCGUUAUCCGGAUUUACUGGUGUAAAGGGGGCGCAGACGGCGAUGCAAGCCAGGAGUGAAAGCCCGGGGCCCAACCCCGGGACUGCUCUUGGAACUGCGUGGCUGGAGUGCAGGAGGGGCAGGCGGAAUUCCUGGUGUAGCGGUGAAAUGCGUAGAUAUUAGGAAGAACACCAGUGGCGAAGGCGGCUUUCUGGACUGAAACUGACGCUGAGGCUCGAAAGCGUGGGGAGCGAACAGG
rnacentral:rRNA from 1 species